AUUGAACGCUGGCGGCAGGCCUAACACAUGCAAGUCGAGCGGAGCGGCGGACGGGUGAGUAAUGCCUAGGAAUUUGCCUGGUAGUGGGGGAUAACGACCGGAAACGGGCGCUAAUACUGCAUACUAUCAGAUGAGCCUAGGUCGGAUUAGCUAGAUGGUGGGGUAAAGGCCUACCAAGGCGACGAUCCGUAGCUGGUCUGAGAGGAGGAUCAGUAACACUGGAACUGAGACACGGUCCAGACUCCUACGGGAGGCAGCAGUGGGGAAUAUUGGGCAAUGGGCGAAAGCCUGACCCAGCCAUGCCGCGUGUGUGAAGAAGGUCUUCGGAUUGUAAAGCACUUUAAGUUGGGAGGCGUUACCUACAGAAUAAGCACCGGCUAACUUCGUGCCAGCCGCCGCGGUAAUAC
rnacentral:rRNA from 1 species